UGGGGAAUCUUGCGCAAUGGGCGAAAGCCUGACGCAGCGACGCCGCGUGAGUGAUGAAGGCCUUCGGGUUGUAAAGCCCUUUUGUUGGGAAAGAAAUCCUAUCGGUUAAUAACCGGUGGGGAUGACGGUACCCAAAGAAUAAGCACCGGCUAACUUCGUGCCAGCAGCCGCGGUAAUACGUAGGGUGCGAGCGUUAAUCGGAAUUACUGGGCGUAAAGCGUGCGCAGGCGGUUAUAUAAGACAGAGGUGAAAUCCCCGGGCUCAACCUGGGAACUGCCUUUGUGACUGCAUAGCUAGAGUACGGUAGAGGGGGAUGGAAUUCCGCGUGUAGCAGUGAAAUGCGUAGAGAUCAGAAGGAACAUCCGUGGCGAAGGCGGCAUCCUGGGCCAACACUGACACUGAGGCACGAAAGCGUGGGGAGCAAACA
rnacentral:rRNA from 1 species